rnacentral:rRNA from 2 species
GGCUGUCUGGUCUGUAACUGACGCUGAGGCUCGAAAGUAUGGGUAGCAAACAGGAUUAGAUACCCUGGUAGUCCAUACCGUAAACGAUGAAUGCUAAGUGUUGGAGGGUUUCCGCCCUUCAGUGCUGCAGCUAACGCAUUAAGCUAAUUCCGCCUGGGGAGUACGGCCGCAAGGCUGAAACUCAAAGGAAUUGACGGGGGCCCGCACAAGCGGUGGAGCAUGUGGUUUAAUUCGAAGCUACGCGAAGAACGGCUUACCAGGUCUUGACAUACUAUGCAAAUCUAAGAGAUUAGACGUUCCCUUCGGGGACAUGGAUACAGGUGGUGCUCCUAUGGUUGUCGUCAGCUCGUGUCGUGAGAUGUUGGGUUAAGUCCCGCAACGAGCGCAACCCUUAUUAUCAGUUGCCAGCAUUAAGUUGUGGCACUCUGGUGAGACUGCCGGUGACAAACCGGAGGAACUGUUCAGGUGGGGAUGACGUCAAAUCAUCAUGCCCCUUAUGACCUGGGCUACACACGUGCUACAAUGGAUAGGUACAACGAGUUGUCCGAACUCGCUGAGAGUAAGCUAAUCUCUUAAAGCCAUUCUCAGUUCGGAUUGUAGGCCUGCAACUCGCCUACAUGAAGUCGGAAUCGCUAGUAAUCGCGGAUCAGCAUGCCGCGGUGAAUACGUUCCCGGGCCUUGUACACACCGCCCGUCACACGCAUGAGAGUUUGUAACACCCAAAGUCGGUGGGGUAACCUGUAGGAACC